AGCUGUAUGUGGUAGCACCCAAGGAGGCUUUUAACUUCAGUAUUUUAUUGGAAACACUAAAAUCAGCACAAUAAAAAUCCUCCCAAUGUGAUAACUUUAAUAAAAAUGAAACCUUAAAAGAUGGCAUGGAGAAGACCUGCAUUGAUAUCUGAGUCUGCAAAGAUGUGCCUGAGUUCACAUUUUCCCAAGGGAAAUGGACUGAAGACAACAACUUUGCCAGAUGCAACCCUCCC
rnacentral:lncRNA from 11 species